CAGGAACGCAAGCUAGUUUCAGCUGAUGACUCCCCGUCAUGAUCGAUCGGUAUCGCCGCGGUAAAUGAGUGGGCUUAUAAAGAUAGAUACGACUCACUUCGUCGCCAUUCACCACGGUUCCUGGCUUUCCUGCUCCUUCCAGAUACACGGUAAACCUAAGUUGCAAUCAGAAGACUUGCUCGACGAAAAUACAAGCAGGACGUUAGUAACAUACGUACCUGUAAGAAUCGAUAUCUUCGUCUUCCCCAGGGGCUUUCUUCAUGUCCUUGUCGCUCAACGAUCUUCGACGAUAUAUCAGUUAGGAAACAUUUGGGCUUUCAUGCUAUCAUUAUUUGGGUCGGGGGCAUCACUUACCCGGACAUGUAUUUCCUGAAUAAGAGUUUCGUCUUUCAAACACUGUGCCAUCGUUGGCGGCGGCUGUUAACUGUUGAUGGUUCUAAGGUCUUAAGGCAGAGUAAAUCGUAACUUGCAAGCUUAGCAAAUUGGGAAAUAAAAGGUGAUUUAUGUACUGCUGAGCGCAGUUGAAGGCGAACAUAUACAAGUCACGAGGGCCCUCAAUUUAUGCGACUGCAACACCCAGUGACUGGUAGUGACCGGUGGUACAAAAUGAUACACACACAUAAUAGCCGGUCGGCGAACGCGGUGAAACCCUGCCCCUU
rnacentral:sRNA from 1 species